UCUGUUGCCAGCUGCAGAGUCAGACUUGUAACAACUCCGUUAGUGCUGUUUUAAUUUUAGAAAAACCCACACUUUCGUACCACUACUAAACCUCCUUUUUAUCUCAGUUACAGAAAGUGACGCACACUAGUGAUGUAGCUGUACUUGUCUCCUGAAAUGUCACACAUAAGUGUGUGGAAAGUAUCGCUGUAUGUCUAAGUUUGUUCAUUUUUUAUAGUGCUUCCUACAUGUGUUCAUGAGACGACGUGUAUUUUUAUUUAAAGCAUUUCAAAUGAAGUCUGUCUUUAAAGCAUUGGGUGUUUAUGCUGUGCGCAGAAUAGGGUUAAACAAGGUGCGGUCUGAUCCAGUUCAUCUGAGACUCCUUAGGCUCAUGAAGUUACUAGGCAGAAAUCUGCCAAGUCUGUUUUUUUUUGUUUGUUUUGUUUUUUUGUUUUUUUUUUUUUUUUUUUGUUUUGAGACAAGGUCUCUCAGUGUAGCUGCAGCUCUCCUGAAAUUAUGUAGACCAGGCUUGUCUCAAACCCACAGAGAUCCACCUCCCUCUAUCUCCCAGAUGAUAGGAUUAAAGGCGUAUGCCGCUACUGUUUUUGUAUAUGCCGUCAAGACUGUUUUUGAAGCACUUUCCCUAGUUACAGUAUUUGCCAGUGCUAGUGUGACUGUCCCACCAGCCUUACAGCAGGAGCUGGGCUCACUGCCUGCGCUGCAAGCUGCGGUAUUCGCCCCUGGGGAACCAUAGCACAGAAAAGCUCCCUGACAGCACUGCAGGUCUCUGCACAGCUCUGGCUGUCCUGGAAUCACUAUGUAGACCAGGCUGACCUGGAAUUUAUAGGAAUCCUCUCGUCUCUGCCUCAUAGCUGCUGGGAUUAAAGGCGUAGCACUGGGUUUGAAGGAUCAUAUUUAUACUCCAGUGUUUCCUAAUGAUCUCCUAAGUAGCUCUUUGUUUUCCUGACUGUACUGUGAACAGGCCCAGUGUGCGGCCCUUGGAUUGGUUGUAGACCGAGUGCCACCAGAGCAGGCUUGAGAGUCCAUUGAUUUAAACUCCGCAGAUGCUGCAGAUAGAUCCACGUGGCACCAAGAUUACUUGGCUGUAUUUGUUGUGGGCACAAACGGAACAUAGUAGUAGGCAUAGCCAACAUUGCCAGGAGGACCUGCCCACUAGCUCCAGCAUGCUCAUCACGAAGGAAGCACGUGGUCUACACAAGAUUAUUUUGGGACCUGAGGAGGUUGGCUGCAGAAUCUGGGUUCCCUCUGGGUAUUCAGCCCUCGGGGUGAGGGAGGGUGUGCGCUUUCCUCUUUUUUGCAGUGAGCCAUAGUCUGCAAUGGCGCUUUUUGCCCACAUCGUUUAGGUAGCCUGGGUCAGCAUCCCAAGGCCACUUGGAAGGGCAAUCAGAAGUGCCCAGAACAGAUGCCUCUCAUGAUUUCAGCUGACCUGAAGGAACAAAUGACUUAGUGUUCCCAUGUGUGUAAUGUGGAUGUCAGCGCUUCCACAUGCAUAAUGUAUGUAAGACUGUUAGUGUUCCCAUGUGUGUAGUGUAUGUAACACCGCAAGUAGGGGACAGCUGUGUUUUUAUCCCCAAAUUGUAUUUGUUUAUUAAUGGGUAAUAAACAUUGAGUUAAAAAGGG
rnacentral:lncRNA from 1 species